AUUGAACGCUGGCGGCAGGCUUAACACAUGCAAGUCGAGCGGGGUGAUGGUGCUUGCACUAUCACUUAGCGGCGGACGGGUGAGUAAUGCUUAGGAAUCUGCCUAUUAGUGGGGGACAACAUCUCGAAAGGGAUGCUAAUACCGCAUACGUCCUACGGGAGAAAGCAGGGGAUCACUUGUGACCUUGCGCUAAUAGAUGAGCCUAAGUCGGAUUAGCUAGUUGGUGGGGUAAAGGCCUACCAAGGCGACGAUCUGUAGCGGGUCUGAGAGGAUGAUCCGCCGCCAUGGGACAGAGACACGGCCCAGACUCCUACGGUAGGCAGCAGUGGGGAAUAUUGGACAAUGGGGGGAACCCUGAUCCAGCCAUGCCGCGUGUGUGAAGAAGGCCUUAUGGUUGUAAAGCACUUUAAGCAAGGAGGAGGCUCUUUUGGUUAAUACCCAAGAUGAGUGGACGUUACUCGCAGAAUAAGCACCGGCUAACUCUGUGCCAGCCGCCGCCGUAA
rnacentral:rRNA from 1 species